GACGAACACUGGCGGCGUGCUUAACACAUGCAAGUCGAACGGAAAGGCCCUGCUUUUGUGGGGUGCUCGAGUGGCGAACGGGUGAGUAACACGUGAGUAACCUGCCCUUGACUUUGGGAUAACUUCAGGAAACUGGGGCUAAUACCGGAUAGGAGCUCCUGCUGCAUGGUGGGGGUUGGAAAGUUUCGGCGGUUGGGGAUGGACUCGCGGCUUAUCAGCUUGUUGGUGGGGUAGUGGCUUACCAAGGCUUUGACGGGUAGCCGGCCUGAGAGGGUGACCGGCCACAUUGGGACUGAGAUACGGCCCAGACUCCUACGGGAGGCAGCAGUGGGGAAUAUUGCACAAUGGGCGGAAGCCUGAUGCAGCAACGCCGCGUGCGGGAUGACGGCCUUCGGGUUGUAAACCGCUUUCGCCUGUGACGAAGCGUGAGUGACGGUAAUGGGUAAAGAAGCACCGGCUAACUACGU
rnacentral:rRNA from 1 species